AGCAAUGCCGCGUGAGUGAGGAAGGCCUUCGGGUUGUAAAGCUCUGUCAGAUGGGAAGAAUUGCCAGAUAUCUAAUAGGUGUCUGGAGUGACGGUACCAUCAAAGGAAGCACCGGCUAACUUCGUGCCAGCAGCCGCGGUAAUACGAAGGGUGCAAGCGUUGUUCGGAUUUACUGGGCGUAAAGCGCGCGCAGGCGGAUUAUUAAGCCAGAUGUGAAAUCUCGGGGCUCAACCCCGAAACUGCGUCUGGAACUGGUAAUCUAGAGUUAUGGAGGGGAGAGCGGAAUUUCGCAUGUAGGGGUAAAAUCCGUAGAGAUGCGAAGGAACACCAGAGCCGAAGGGGGCUCUCUGGCCAUCAACUGACGCUGAGGCGCGAAAGCGUGGGGAGCAAACAGGAUUAGAUACCCUGGUAGUCCACGCCGUAAACGAUGAGUACUAGGUAUUGGGAGUUUGACCCUCUCAGUGCCAAAGCUAACGCAUUAAGUACUCCGCCUGGGAAGUACGGUCGCAAGACUAAAACUCAA
rnacentral:rRNA from 1 species